rnacentral:tRNA from 1 species
GGAUAAAUGGUCGAGUGGUCUAAGACGUUAGUUUUGAAAACUGAUUUGUUUUUUAAAAACAACAUGAGUUCGAAUCUCAUUUUAUCUU